rnacentral:misc_RNA from 1 species
GAUGAAGAACGUAGCGAAAUGCGAUAAGUAAUGUGAAUGGCAGAAUUCAGUGAAUCAUCGAAUCUUUGAACGCACAUUGCGCCCCUUGGUAUUCCGAGGGGCAUGCCUGUUCGAGCGUCAUUAUAACCCCUCAAGCUUAGCUUGGUGUUGGGGCCUGCUGUAAUAGAGCAGCCCUUAAAAUCAGUGGCGGUGCCAUUAGGCUCUAAGCGUAGUAAUUCUUCUCGCUAUAGGGUUCUGGUGGAUGCUUGCCAUUAACCUCUAAUUUUCUAUGGUUGACCUCGGAUCAGGUAGGGAUACCCGCUGAACUUAAGCAUAUCAAUGCGGAGGA